rnacentral:rRNA from 1 species
UACGUAGGGUGCAAGCGUUGUCCGGAAUUAUUGGGCGUAAAGAGCUCGUAGGCGGUUUGUCGCGUCGGCUGUGAAAUCCCGAGGCUCAACCUCGGGUCUGCAGUCGAUACGGGCGGACUGGAGUUCGGCAGGGGAGACUGGAAUUCCUGGUGUAGCGGUGAAAUGCGCAGAUAUCAGGAGGAACACCGGUGGCGAAGGCGGGUCUCUGGGCAGUAACUGACGCUGAGGAGCGAAAGCGUGGGGAGCGAACAGG